rnacentral:rRNA from 1 species
GACGAAGAAGACUAGCGUUGUUCGGAAUUACUGGGCGUAAAGCGAGUGUAGGUGAUUGUCAUAGUCAAGUGUGAAAGCCUUGAGCUCAACUCAAGAAAUGCACUUGAUACUGGACGACUAGAGGACCAGAGAGAAUAGUGGAAUUCCCAGUGUAGUGGUGAAAUACGUAGAGAUUGGGAAGAACACCAGUGGCGAAGACGGCUAUCUGGACGAUUACUGACACUAAGACUCGAAAGCGUGGGGAGCAAACAAA